ensembl:lncRNA mucin-2-like
AUUACAAUAACAAUUUCUCUAGCAGCAUCCACAGCAGCAGCUGACACAAAAGGCACUACUGAACCAACAGCAUCACGUACUUCAACAUCUGAAACUGUGACUACCACUGGAAUUGCAACUAUAGUUUCUCCAUCAGCAUCCAGUACUACAUCUGAAGGUGGUAGUACAGUGUCCCUGAUAGAUACAUCAACCAUCACAUCUGCCCAUUCAACAACUACAUCAGAAGCUUUCGCAACAGGUCCAGAGGGUUCUAGUUCUUCUCCAACUACUGUUCCAACAGCAUCAAGUACUACAGCACUUGGGCAUGUGCCUACAACACCUCCUGAAACAGGCUCUACCACCGGAAUUGCAACUAUAGUUGCUCCAACAGCAUCCAGUACUAGAGCUGAAGGUAGUAGUACAGUGUCCCUGAUAGAUGCAUCAACCAUCACAUCUGUCCAUUCAACAACUACAGCAGAAGCUUUCACAACAAGUCCAGAGGGUCUUAGUGUUUCUCCAACUACUGUUCCAACAGCAUCAACUUCUACAGCAUCUGGGCAUGUGUCUACAACUCCAUCUGAAACUGUUCCUACCACUGGAAUUGCAACUAUAGUUUCUCCAACAGCAUUGAGUACAACCGCUGAAGGUAGUAGUACAGUGUCCCUUAUAGAUACAUCAACCACCACAACUGUUCAUUCAACAACUACAGCAGAAGCUUUCACAACAAGUCCAGAGGGUCUUAGUGUUUCUCCAACUACUGUUCCAACAGCAUCAACAUCUACAGCAUCUGGGCAUGUGACUACAACACCAUCUGAAACUGUUCCUACCACUAGAAUUGCAACUAUAGUUUCUCCAACAGCAUCCAGUACAAGAGCUGAAGGUAGUAGUACAGUGUCCCUUGUAGAUACAUCAACCAUCAUAUCUGUCCAUUCAACAACUACAGCAGAAGCUUUCACAACAAGUCCAGAGGGUCCUAGUUUUUUUCCAACUACUGUACCAACAGCUUCAAGUUCUACAGCAUCUGGACAUGUGUCUACAACACCAUCUGAAACUGUUCCUACCACUGGAAUUGCAACUAUAGUUUCUACAACAGCAUCAAGUACUACAGCUGAAGGUAGUAGUACAGUGUCCCUUAUAGAUACAUCAACCAUCACAUCUGUCCAUUCAACAACUACAGCAGAAGCUUUCACAACAAGUCCAGAGGGUCCUAGUUUUUUUCCAACUACUGUACCAACAGCUUCAAGUUCUACAGCAUCUGGACAUGUGUCUACAACACCAUCUGAAACUGUUCCUACCACUAGAAUUGCAACUAUAGUUUCUACAGCAGCAUCAAGUACUACAGCUGAAGGUAGUAGUACAGUGUCCCUUAUAGAUACAUCAACCAUCACAUCUGUCCAUUCAACAACUACAGCAGAAGCUUUCACAACAAGUCCAGAGGGUCUUAGUGUUUCUUCAACUACUGCACCAACAGCAUCAACAUCUACAGCAUCUGGACAUGUGUCUACAACUCCAUCUGAAACUGUUCCUACCACUGGAAUUGCAACUAUAGUUUCUCCAACAGCAUCGAGUACAACCGCUGAAGGUAGUAGUACAGUGUCCCUUGUAGAUACAUCAACCAUCACAUCUGUCCAUUCAACAACUACAGUAGAAGCUUUCACAACAAGUCCAGAGGGCCCUAGUUUUUCUCCAACUACUGCACCAACAGCAUCAAUUUCUACAGCAUCUGGGCAUGUGACUACAACACCUUCUAAAACAGGUCCUACAACUGGAAUUGCAAGUACAUUUUCUCCAACAGCAUCCAGUACUAGAGCCGAAGGUAGUACUGUGGUAUCAACAGCACCUAGUACUUCAAAAUUUCAAACAACUUCUACCACUGGAACAGCAACAGUAGGCUCUUCAACAGCAUCUAGCCCUACAACUCAAGUAAAUGCAACAUCUGCCAGAGCAACUACUACAACAGCAUCCACUAUUUCAACGGCUUUACCUUUCACUUCAGCACAGUCUCAAACAAGCUCUAAAACUCAAUUUAGUGCAAGGACAACUUCUGCUCUUUCUACAGCCACUUCACCUUUUCAAACCACAACAGCAUCAGCCACAAGUACCUCAGUCCCAUCAUACCCUGCUAUAUCAACUGAAGGCUUCCUAAUUCUUACCUUCAGAAUGAUUAGAGCCUUUCAAAAUGACUACUAUGAUUCAUCAACAUCAGCCUACAGGACACUAGAAAGGAAUGUCACAACUGAGUUAAAUAAAGGUUAUAAAAAACGAUAUCCUUUAACAUUUGUCAGAACUUACAUACUACGAUUUUGGCCUGGAUCAGUCGGUGUGGAUGCUCAACUAAUUUUUCAAAACCAGUCAGUGGUUCCCAACACCACAACUGUAACAACUGAUCUUAAAACCGAACUGUCAAAAGUUGUUUUCCUGGAUGUCAUUCCAGAAAGCAUUUCUGCACAGAAUGCAACAACCACAGCAGCAACAACAUUUGCAACAACUUCAAGCAGUGCUACAAGAAGUCCUACAGCAAGCAGUACUACAGCAAGCAGUACUACAGCAAGUAGUGCUACAACAAGUAGUGCUACAACAAGUUUUUUACUCACUUUCCUUCUUCCACUCUUCCUCAUACAUGUUCUACAAUGAGUAGACAAUCUGUUUUACUCUUUCAUCCUUUUGUUCACAAAACACAAAAUUGUCAGAAGAAGGAUUAGCUCAAAAUACUUUCAUACUGACCAUGUUAUUAUUUAUCGUACAUCAUAAACUUAUCACUACAAUAGAUUUAAGAUACAUUUUGAGAGAUAAUGAUCAGAGAUGAUUGCCCAAUCACCUACACUGUAUGUUUUAUGGGUAAAUGAGGCAAUCUGAGUAUAAUUUGUACAGUAUUACAUAUUUUAAUUACUCAACCAUGUUAUUAUUUAAAUUAAAAACAAAUUUAACAUAAUGUAUGUAAUAUAUAACAUAAUAACAUGUAAUACAACAUAAUAUUGUACAUAAUAUAUUGUACAUAACAUAUAACGUAACAUAUUUAAAAACGUAAAUAAG